CAAUAGCGUAUAUUAAAGUUGUUGCAGUUAAAAAGCUCGUAGUUGGAUUUGUGGCGGUUCCUGUGGUCCGAUUUCGGUACUUUCGGGGACUGCCAUCCUUGGGUGGAUCCUGUGUGGCAUUAGGUUGUCGUGCAGGGGAUGCCCAUCUUUUACUGUGAAAAAAUUAGAGUGUUCAAAGCAGGCUUAUGCCGUUGAAUAUAUUAGCAUGGAAUAAUGAGAUAGGACCUUGGUACUAUUUUGUUGGUUUGCGCACCGAGGUAAUGAUUAAUAGGGACAGCUGAGGGUAUUCGUAUUCCAUUGUCAGAGGUGAAAUUCUUGGAUUUCUGGAAGACGAACGAAAGCGAAAGCAUUUACCAAAAAUGUUUUCAUUAA
rnacentral:rRNA from 1 species